AUUGAACGCUGGCGGCAUGCUUUACACAUGCAAGUCGAACGGCAGCACGGGAGCUUGCUCCUGGUGGCGAGUGGCGAACGGGUGAGUAAUGCAUCGGAACGUAUCCAAUAAUGGGGGAUAACGCACCGAAAGGUGUGCUAAUACCGCAUACGCCCUGAGGGGGAAAGUGGGGGAUUCGCAAGGACCUCACGUUAAUGGAGCGGCUGAUGCCGGAUUAGCUAGUUGGUGAGGUAAAGGCUCACCAAGGCGACGAUCCGUAGCUGGUCUGAGAGGACGACCAGCCACACUGGGACUGAGACACGGCCCAGACUCCUACGGGUGGCUG
rnacentral:rRNA from 1 species